rnacentral:rRNA from 1 species
GAUGAACGCUGGCGGCGUGCCUAAUACAUGCAAGUCGAGCGAACGGACGAGAUGCUUGCUUCUCUGAUGUUAGCGGCGGACGGGUGAGUCACACGUGGAUAACCUACCUCUAAGACUGGGAUAACUUCGGGAAACCGGAUCUAAUACCGGAUAAUAUUUUGAACCGCAUGGUUCACUAGUGAAAUUCGGUCUUUCUGUCUCUUAUAGAUGGAUCCGCGCUGCAUUAGCUAGUUGGUAAGGUAACGGCUUACCAAGGCAACGAGGGAUAAAGGACCUGAGCGGGAGAACGGCGACACGGGAAGGGAGAAAGGGUACAGAGACCGAAGGGAGGCAGCAGUAGGGAAUCUUACGCAAGGGGGGAAAGCCUGACGGAGGAACGCCGCGGGAGUGAUGAAGGUGUUCGGAUGGGGAAACUCUGUAAGUAGGGAAGAACAAAAGUGUAAGUAACUGUGCACAUCAUGACGGUACCGAAACAGAAAGCCACGGCUAACUACGUG